rnacentral:rRNA from 1 species
GGAAGCAGCUUGCUGCUUUGCUGACGAGUGGCGGACGGGUGAGUAAUGUCUGGGAAACUGCCCGAUGGAGGGGGAUAACUACUGGAAACGGUAGCUAAUACCGCAUAAUGUCGCAAGACCAAAGAGGGGGACCUUCGGGCCUCUUGCCAUCGGAUGUGCCCAGAUGGGAUUAGCUUGUUGGUGAGGUAACGGCUCACCAAGGCGACGAUCCCUAGCUGGUCUGAGAGGAUGACCAGCCACACUGGAACUGAGACACGGUCCAGACUCCUACGGGAGGCAGCAGUGGGGAAUAUUGCACAAUGGGCGCAAGCCUGAUGCAGCCAUGCCGCGUGUAUGAAGAAGGCCUUCGGGUUGUAAAGUACUUUCAGCGGGGAGGAAGGGGUUAAGGUUAAUAACCUU